UUUAAGUGCAACCAUAAAUUUCCGCGUCCAAUUUUGAUCAUCCAUCUUAUUUGAAAUUUUUUUAUAAUUAGUAUUUUUAUUGUUAUGAGAUGAUAAAAUAUGAAUAGUACUUUACUCAUAACUUAUGUUUUUAACUUUUUCAAAAAUUUUUUAAAUAAGACGGAAGGUCAAAAUUAGGCACGGAAAAUCAUUGUUGCACUUAAA
rfam:Oryza glumipatula chromosome 12, whole genome shotgun sequence.